GACGAACGCUGGCGGCAUGCCUAACACAUGCAAGUCGAACGGAACUUGUUGAAUGAAGUUUUCGGAUGGAUUUUGACAAGUUUAGUGGCGGACGGGUGAGUAACGCGUGAGCAACCUGCCUUUCAGAGGGGGACAACAGUUGGAACCGACUGCUAAUACCGCAUAACGUAUCGGGCUCGCAUGAUCCUGAUACCAAAGAUUUUAUCGCUGAAAGAUGGGCUCGCGUACGAUUAGAUAGUUGGUGAGGUAACGGCUCACCAAGUCGACAAUCGUUAGCCGGACUGAGAGGUUGAGCGGCCACAUUGGGACUGAGACACGGCCCAGACUCCUACGGAAGGCAGCAGUGAGGAAUAUUGGGCAAUGGGCGCAAGCCUGACCCAGCAAUGCCGCGUGAAGGAAGACGGUUUUCGGAUUGUAAACUUCUUUUAAGAGGGACGAUAAUGACGGUACCUCUUGAAUAAGCCACGGCUAACUACGUGCCAGCAGCCGCAGUAACAC
rnacentral:rRNA from 1 species